GCCGGCUCAAGAAGUGGGACAGCUCUUUGUGAGGUAAAAGAGGAAGCAGGCCAAGAGGAAGAAGCAGUCGAGGUCAGCCCGCGACAUCCUUUAAUGCUGCCAAUUAACCCCGUGGAGGAGGAAGAGAAAAUCAGACUGAAAACUCUGAUCCCUUUCACAGCCGAUCAGACUGAGAGAACUGUCUCCUCUUUCACAGGAACUAGGCAUAAACUAUGCUAUAAAUGGAAGGAUGGAUGGAUGAUGGAUGGAUAGAUGAGCAACAAAUUGCAUUGUGGAGACAGCUGGAUCCACGUCAAAGAAACGGGAAAGAGUGACAUCCAAGAGAGACAAAAUCAAUCUAUGCACACACAGCCUCUCUCUGUCUAUGUGGACUUCAGGAAGUUAAGAAGUCUCAGAGCAGAGGAGGUUUUCUCCGCUGAGCACAGGACGCCCUUGUCUUCAUCUGCUCCGACUUCCUGCGAGCAGAUCACAUGACGACAAUGUACAAUCUUUAAAGUUUUCAUUUUUACUGUUAUCACAUCAAGAUGUUUUUUGGUUAUGUUUAUUUAUUUUUACUUUUAUUUUUUGUUGGCUUUUUAAUGAUGCUUUGAGCAGAUGGUAUUAAAAAAAAAACAAAUCAAGGGACGUGCGGGACAUCUGUUUAUCCUCAGGAGAAGAUGAACAAGCAGGAGGAAAGAAAAAAGAAGAUUAUGAAACCCAUGUGUUUGAUGUUUGUGCUCAUAGAGCUGCAGAAAUCAGGUUAUUGAGUU